rnacentral:rRNA from 1 species
GAUGAACGCUGGCGGCGUGCCUAAUACAUGCAAGUCGAGCGAACAGACGAGGAGCUUGCUCCUCUGACGUUAGCGGCGGACGGGUGAGUAACACGUGGAUAACCUACCUAUAAGACUGGGAUAACUUCGGGAAACCGGAGCUAAUACCGGAUAAUAUAUUGAACCGCAUGGUUCAAUAGUGAAAGACGGUUUUGCUGUCACUUAUAGAUGGAUCCGCGCCGCAUUAGCUAGUUGGUAAGGUAACGGCUUACCAAGGCGACGAUGCGUAGCCGACCUGAGAGGGUGAUCGGCCACACUGGAGCUUAGACACGGUCCAGACUCCUACGGGAGGCAGCAGUAGGGAAUCUGCCGCAAUGGGCGGAAGCCUGACGCAGCAACGCCGCGUGAGUGAUGAAGGUCUUCGGAGCGUAAAACUCUGUUAUUAGGGAAGAACAAAUGUGUAAGUAACUAUGCACGUCUUGACGGUACCUAAUCAGAAAGCCACGGCUAACUACGUG